rnacentral:rRNA from 1 species
UGGGGAAUAUUGCACAAUGGGCGAAAGCCUGAUGCAGCAACGCCGCGUGAGUGAUGAAGGUCUUCGGAUUGUAAAGCUCUGUCUUUUGGGACGAUAAUGACGGUACCAAAGGAGGAAGCCACGGCUAACUACGUGCCAGCAGCCGCGGUAAUACGUAGGUGGCGAGCGUUGUCCGGAUUUACUGGGCGUAAAGGGUGCGUAGGCGGAUGUUUAAGUGAGAUGUGAAAUACCCGGGCUUAACUUGGGUGCUGCAUUUCAAACUGGAUAUCUAGAGUGCAGGAGAGGAGAAUGGAAUUCCUAGUGUAGCGGUGAAAUGCGUAGAGAUUAGGAAGAACACCAGUGGCGAAGGCGAUUCUCUGGACUGUAACUGACGCUGAGGCACGAAAGCGUGGGUAGCAAACAGGAUUAGAUACCCUGGUAGUCCACGCCGUAAACGAUGAGUACUAGGUGUAGGAGGUAUCGACCCCUUCUGUGCCGCAGUAAACACAUUAAGUACUCCGCCUGGGAAGUACGAUCGCAAGAUUAAAACUCU